rnacentral:rRNA from 1 species
UGUGUAGGCGGUUUGGUAAGUCUGGUGUGAAAUCUCCCGGCUCAACUGGGAGGGUGCGCCGGAAACUGCUGGACUCGAGUGCGGGAGAGGAAAGUGGAAUUCCUGGUGUAGCGGUGAAAUGCGUAGAUAUCAGGAGGAACACCGGUGGUGUAAACGGCUUUCUGGACCGUAACUGACGCUGAUACACGAAAGCGUGGGUAGCAAACAGGAUUAGAUACCCUGGUAGUCCACGCCCUAAACGAUGCAUAUUUGGUGUGGGCAGUUCAUUCUGUCCGUGCCGGAGCUAACGCGUUAAAUAUGCCGCCUGGGGAGUACAGUCGCAAGGCUGAA